UGAGGAAUAUUGGGCAAUGCCCGCAAGGGUGACCCAGCAACGCCGCGUGGAGGAUGAAUGUCGUAAGAUUGUAAACUCCUGUUAGAGGGGAAGAAUAGUACCGGUUGGACCGGGAUAUGACUGUACCCUCAGAGAAAGCCCCGGCUAACUACGUGCCAGCAGCCGCGGUAAUACGUAGGGGGCAAGCGUUGUCCGGAUUUACUGGGUGUAAAGGGCGCGCAGGCGGGAUAAAAAGUCAGUGGUGAAAUCCUACAGCUUAACUGUAGAACUGCCUUUGAUACUUUUAUUCUUGAGUUCGGGAGAGAGAGACGGAAUGCCAGGUGUAGUGGUGAAAUACGUAGAUAUCUGGAAGAACACCAGUUGCGAAGGCGGUCUCUUGGUCCGACACUGACGCUGAGGCGCGAAAGCGUGGGG
rnacentral:rRNA from 1 species